rfam:Protomyces lactucaedebilis strain 12-1054 BCR37scaffold_2, whole genome shotgun sequence.
GGGGGUGUAGCGAAGCGGUUAACGCGUCUCAUCCGCAAUGAGAAGAUCCUGAGUUCAAAUCUUAGCUCCUCCA